rnacentral:rRNA from 1 species
AUGAACGCUGGCGGCGUGCCUAAUACCUGCAAGUCGAGCGAACAGACGAGGAGCUUGCUCCUCUGACGUUAGCGGCGGACGGGUGAGUAACACGUGGAUAACCUACCUAUAAGAUUGGGAUAACUUCGGGAAACCGGAGCUAAUACCGGAUAAUAUAUUGAACCGCAUGGUUCAAUAGUGAAAGACGGUUUUGCUGUCACUUAUAGAUGGAUCCGCGCCGCAUUAGCUAGUUGGUAAGGUAACGGCUUACCAAGGCAACGAUGCGUAGCCGACCUGAGAGGGUGAUCGGCCACACUGGAACUGAGACACGGUCCAGACUCCUACGGGAGGCAGCAGUAGGGAAUCUUCCGCAAUGGGCGAAAGCCUGACGGAGCAACGCCGCGUGAGUGAUGAAGGUCUUCGGAUCGUAAAACGCUGUUAUUAGGGAAGAACAAAUGUGUAAGUAACUAUGCACGUCUUGACGGUACCUAAGCAGAAAGCCACGGCUAACUACGU